CCGAUCGUUUCUCUCCAAAAGAAUAGUCGCCAAAAACCCGUCUCCCAUUAUUCAGUCUUUUCUCUCAAAUUUCAAUUUUUCCCAAUUCUUCCACAAUCCCUAGUGAUUUCUAAAACACGAGGAAGCAACAAUCGCUGAAUCGUUCAUUCAAUUCAUUUGUUCGUAGCCGACGGAGUUCGAUUACGUGUUCGUCGCCACUGGAGUUCGAAUUCUUGUUCGUCGCCGCCGGAGUUCGAUUUCUUGUUCGUCGCAGCCGAAGUUGGGAAGAGCAGUUUCUGCAAAAUCUUCUACUAGGUUCCUAUUUUUGAUGGGUUAGCAAGGGAAUGGGUAAAUGCAAUAGAAGAAGUUGGGUUGAAGGUUGCUGCUGAUUCUGGUGGCAAAAGCUGUGAUAAGUUGGCACCUUAUGUUAAUGAACCUUUUCAUGUGUGGAAAAAUGACACUUUUGUUGCUGCAUUUCCUUCUUCAAAGCUCAGGAUCAGCUGUGGAAUUAACUUUCCUUAGGCUCCUGCAAUUGGGUGUCAAUGGUUUUCUUGUUCAUUAUCAGAUGAUUGCGUCUAUGUAGAGCAGAUAGCUUCUUCAAGAACAUUUUGCAUUUAUGAGCAGGUACCAAACCUUGGCAGUUAACUGAAAUUGUACAUCAAACUCAAUGCCUAACGGUUUCCGUGCCAGAAUGCUCUGAUGCAAAGGAAGAGAACAAAAUAUUGGAUAAAAUGCAUCGCCAAAAGGUUGCAGAAGUUGAAAAGCUUACCCAAACUGUGUGUGAGCUUGAAGAGGCUGUUCUUGCUGGUGGUGCAGCAGCUAAUGCUGUUCGGGAUUACCAACGCAAAGUUCAAGAGAUGAAUGAAGAGAGAAAAACUCUUAACCGGGGGCUGGCACAUGCGAAGGUUACUGCAAAUAGGGUGGCCACAGUGGUUGCUAAUGAGUGGAAAGAUUCUAAUGACAAAGUAAUGCCUGUAAAACCGUGGCUUGAAGAGAGAAGGUUUUUGCAGGGGGAGAUGCAACAAUUAUGAGAUAAGCUAGCAAUUUUUGAACGAACUGCAAAAUCAGAAGCCCAGUUGAAAGAAAAAUAUCAAUUAAGGCUUAGGGUUCUAGAAGAUACAUUAAGGUCAUCUAGCACAAGCGUUUCAUUGGAAACUUUGUUAUCUUUGGUUAAAAGCAUCUCUAUUGAUGGUGGAGUUGGUUUUGCUUUCAUCAAUGUUGCUGGCAAAAAUGAUUACCCAUUAUCUUUGUUCUUUAUUCAAUCAAUUAUGAAUCCUCCCUAAUGGAAUGGGGAUGUUUGAGAUGUUCAUUGUGUAGUGUCUAACAUCUAAACAUUGCAGGUUGAGGACUUUUAUGUCUUGGGGGAAGAAUUUUUCAUUCCAUUGAUGGUGAAUUUGCAUGCAGUUCCCUUGGGAGAAGAUGGAAACCUUGCUUCAUUGAAAGUUCCUUCUGGGAAAAAAACUACUGGAAUAAAAGUUGAUCAUGUCACUGUUGCUCCUAUAUGUGUUCAGCUUUAAGAACCACCAAUGUUCAAGACCUAGAGAGAGUGAACAACAGUACCUCUAUGCCAUGCUUCCUGCAUCUGCUCAUCUUCGUGUAUUUGAAGAAUUGUGUUUUGAAUUGUCUAAGCUGAUGAAGCAACUUCUUUUAAUACUAUACUAUUGAAUGUUAUUAUUUGACAAAUAUUAGUUACAAUUGAUUUUCUUUUCAAUUAAA